UUGGUAUUCUCCCCGCGGGGCUCUGACCGCUGCCGCUCUCAGGCACCUGUCUUUCCUCUCCGUCCCAGAAUGGAGCCAAGACAAGGGAAUAAACGAAAUUCAAUAGUACACGGAGAUCGGGUGUCUGGGCAGCGUCUUGGAAAAACUAUCCACUACAGCAAUCAACAACACAGAAGACAACUUCUGCAACCCUAUCGGGAGAGGAGGGGUUCUCUCCACCACCAGAUUAUUCCUGACUAGUGAUAUAAAUAAAAUCUUUCCUGGUCCAGAAUU
rnacentral:lncRNA from 1 species